AGAUUAAACAUGAAAUAAAGUUGAUAUAGAAUUUUAGAGUGGUACAAUCAACUCUCACCAUCUUAUUGACUUGUAACCAUCGAUGAUGCCUCCACCCAACUCUCACCCUGAUAAAGUUUUGGACGCGAUUAAGCAAGCGUGAGAAGAUCGCAGGAGCACAGAGUGACGAGCGAGAGAGAUGAGAGCAAACCCUAAGGUUUAGAGAAACGAAGCGACAAGCCGCAGACAGUUUCAAAAAAUAGUGGAACAACUUAGUUGAAUAACAUUAAAAAAGAGUUAUUUAUACACACCCCGAUUCACAGACGGAUGGGCGUCUCCUGCGGCGCG
rnacentral:lncRNA from 1 species